GUUUGAUCCUGGCUCAGAUUGAACGCUGGCGGCAUGCCUUACACAUGCAAGUCGAACGGUAACAGGUCUUCGGAUGCUGACGAGUGGCGAACAGGUGAGUAAUACAUCGGAACGUGCCCGAGAGUGGGGGAUAACGAGGCGAAAGCUUUGCUAAUACCGCAUACGAUCUCAGGAUGAAAGCAGGGGACCGCAAGGCCUUGCGCUCACGGAGCGGCCGAUGGCAGAUUAGGUAGUUGGUGGGAUAAAAGCUUACCAAGGCGACGAUCUGUAGCUGGUCUGAGAGGACGACCAGCCACACUGGGACUGAGACACGGCCCAGACUCCUACGGGAGGCAGCAGUGGGGAAUUUUGGACAAUGGGCGCAAGCCUGAUCCAGCAAUGCCGCGUGCAGGAAGAAGGCCUUCGGGUUGUAAACUGCUUUUGUACGGAACGAAAAGACUCCUUCUAAUAAAGGGGGUCCAUGACGGUACCGUAAGAAUAAGCACCGGCUAACUACGUGCCAGCAGCCGCGGUAAUA
rnacentral:rRNA from 1 species